AGUGGUGAGGCCUUGGUUGUGGCACUUUCCUAGCAAGCAUGAGGCACUGGGUUCGAUUCCCAGCACCACAU
rnacentral:tRNA from 1 species